AGCGAACGCUGGCGGCAGGCCUAACACAUGCAAGUCGAACGCACCUUCGGGUGAGUGGCGGACGGGUGAGUAACACGUGGGAACGUACCUUUAGGUUCGGAACAACUCAGGGAAACUUGAGCUAAUACCGAAUGUGCCCUUUUGGGGAAAGAUUUAUCGCCUUUAGAGCGGCCCGCGUUAGAUCAGCUAGUUGGUGAGGUAAAGGCCCACCAAGGCUACGAUCUAUAGCUGGUCUGAGAGGANGAUCAGCCACACUGGGACUGAGACACGGCCCAGACUCCUACGGGAGGCAGCAGUGGGGAAGUCUUGCGCAAUGGGCGGAAAGCCUGACGCAGCCAUGCCGCGUGAAUGACUGAAGGUCUUAGG
rnacentral:rRNA from 1 species